GGACAUAUUGGUGAUCUGGCUGUGACAUCUGUCACCCACUGAUCGCCAGGGUGGAUUCAGCUGAUCAAACUGUCUAAGCAAGUGUUCCCUUCCUCCCUCACCGCUCCAUUUGCAUCAGUCCCAAAGCUGCAUGCACCAUGGAAAAGGAUAACCCAUCCCUGAGACAGGAAGACCGUUCUUCAGUCAGGGGUAUACAAGUAGUUGCAAUCCCCUGCUAGAACCUCCAGACAAGGUCGCAAAUCUUUUAGCUAAUUGUUUUCAUAUUUGCAUCCAUGUCUGCAAGUAACUUAAACAUAUUGCUACUUCUGAAUUUUUCCAUACUAGGUAUUAUCUGUUAUAAUACCUGUAUGU
rnacentral:snRNA from 1 species